GAUGAACGCUAGCGGCAGGCCUAACACAUGCAAGUCGAGGGGCAGCACAGAAACAGCAAUGUUUUGGUGGCGACCGGCGGACGGGUGCGUAACGCGUAUGCAACCUACCUUUAACAGGGGGAUAACGGAGAGAAAUUUCCACUAAUACCCCAUAACAGCGAUCAAGGCAUCUUGAUUGGUUGAAAACUCCGGUGGUUAAAGAUGGGCAUGCGUUGUGUUAGGUAGUUGGUGAGGUAAUGGCUCACCAAGCCUACGAUACAUAGGGGGACUGAGAGGUUAGCCCCCCACACUGGUAAUGAGACACGGACCAGACUGCUACGGGAGGCAGCCUUGAGGAAUAUUGGUCAAUGGGGGCAACCCUGCACCAGCCAUGCCGCGUGCAGGAAGACGGCUCUAUGAGUUGUCCCCUGCUUUUAAACAGGGAUAAGGCCCCUUAUGUAUACUGUGUUGAAGGUACUGUAAGAAUAAGGAUCGGCUAACUCCGUGCCAGCCGCCGCCGUAA
rnacentral:rRNA from 1 species